rnacentral:tRNA from 1 species
AGGAUAAUAAUUUAAAUUAAAAUGUUUAAUUUGCAUUUAAAAUAUAUUGAUACCAAUUUAUCUUA